AUGUACUCGGGUUUGGCCAUUGUUGGAGCUGGAGGCAUGGGGAAGUCCACCUCAGCACAACUUGUUUACAAUGACAAGAGGGUAAAGGAAUGUUUUGAUGUGAGAAUGUGGGUAAGCAUCUCACACAAACUUGAUGUCCGCCGUCAUAAACGAGAGAUCAUUGAGUCUGCCUCUCAGGGGGAAUGUCCACGCAUUGAUAACCUUGAUACUCCACAACGCAAGUUGGCAGACAUACUUCAAGAAUCAAAGGAAUUCCUGCAUGUACUGGACGAUGUUUGGUUUGAACCUGGUACUGUAAGGGAGUGGGACCAACUGUUAGCUCCUCUAGUUUCCCAACAUAUGGGAAGCAGAGUUUUGGUAACUUCUAGACGGGAUACAUUUCCAACCGCUCUUUGCUGUGAAGAAGUGUGUCCCCCAGAAAACAUGGAAGAUGCUCAGUUCUUGGCACUCUUCAAACACCACGCAUUCUCUGGACAAGAAAUCAGAGAUCUGCAGCUGCGUGAAAGGCUCGAAAAUUAUGCAGAGAAGAUUGCUAAAAGGCUUGGGCAAUCUUCUUUGGCGGCAAAAGUUGUGGGUUCCCAGUUGAAAGGGAAAACAAAUAUCACUGCUUGGAAGGAUUCUCUAAAUAUGAAGAUUGACAAAUUAAGUGAGCCCAUGAGAGCUCUGUUGUGGAGUUAUAAGAAGUUAGAUCCAUGUUUGCAGAGGUGCUUCCUAUAUUGCAGCUUGUUUCCAAAAGGCCACAAGUAUGUCAUGAUGAGUUGGUUCAUCUUUGGAUGGUAG
rnacentral:rRNA from 1 species